UGGGAAUCUGCCCUUGGGUUCGGGAUAACAGUUGGAAAACGACUGCUAAUACCGGAUGAUGACUUAGGUCCAAAGAUUUAUCGCCCAGGGAUGAGCCCGCGUCGGAUUAGCUAGUUGGUGGGGUAAAGGCCUACCAAGGCAACGAUCCGUAGCUGGUCUGAGAGGAUGAUCAGCCACACUGGGACUGAGACACGGCCCAGACUCCGUACGGGAGGCAG
rnacentral:rRNA from 1 species